rnacentral:lncRNA from 1 species
UUAUAUAUGGUUUAAAUUUAAAAAUUUAGUUUCUGUCCCAUUCCAGCCCUUCCAAGCUACACCUGUGGGAAUCCAGGUCAACUGGUGAAUGGCAUCCAGCAGGGCUCUACUUUUAACAUCGGGGACAAGAUCCGCUACAGCUGCAACCAGGGUUAUGUGCUGGAGGGCCACACCGUGCUUUCCUGCCUGGCUACUUCCUCCGGCACUGCUGCCUGGGACUUCCCCCUGCCAUACUGCCGAGUGCUGGCUCUCAGGUCUCAGGGUGCCGCUGCACACCACUCACUGCUGUGUUACCAUGGCAGCCGCAGAGCCCGAGGAAGGCAGUAUGAAGAAACAUGAAACACAUGCAGACCAUCUUUUGUAGGGGCUUAGAUCUUUAUGCAUCACACAUAAUCCAUUUAUUCAAGGCAAUUGAACAAGUCACUUUGACAUUUGACUUCCUUGGGCAGUUCAAAGGUCUGCUUGAGCUUAUUAAGAUAACUGAUUGAUGUAAGCCAGAAUUCUGUUAUGUACAGUAUUUGUCAGGAAAUGGGGCAAAACUACAAAACUAUGGGUGCUUUGUUACUGUGUCCUUUUUUUUUUUUUACUAUACUAUGGCAAAGAAUGCCCUGCGUACUCUAAUAUAUUUUACAUUGUACUUCAUGUAUCAUGGCACAGAAAUGGCUCUGUUGUGGUAAAACCAACAGCUUAUGCUUAUCUCUUUCUGAUACCACUCAGUGAUGGACACUUUUCACAUUUCUGGGGUUCUCAGAACCAAAAAUCAUUACUGCUGGGUGUACUUCUAUAGUGGUGAUGGGAAAAUGACAGAAAGUAUCACAGAAAGUAAGGUUUUUGUGUUUCCAUUUGCUCCAGUAGUAAAAGAAAAAGUCAAUGAUAGUCUUUCCAAAAUGUUAAUUGCAGUCAGAAGAGAGAAAAAUGAAAAUAUACCGUCAUUCCCUCAACUGUUAUAUACGUUGGCCCGCACAUGACAUACAAGGAAAAAUAAAUAAAUAUUGUGCACAAUUUAUUGUUUUGUUCCCUCAAUGUACUCAGGUGUUCACACGAUUACUAUUUUGUUCCACAAUUUACUAAUUUGUUCUCCUGAUUUAUAAAUUAUGUACACGAUUUAGCAAAUCAAGGGAAGGAAUUAGUAAACCGUGCACACGAUUUAGCCUACUAUUUGUUUUCCUGCAUGCCAUGUGCAAGGCUCCGUAAUUAAAUAAGAAACUUACACAAUAAAAAUGCAUAUAUUGUAUUGUAUUUAAUGUAAAGUAAUGUAAUAUAAAUAAUAUACAAAGUAUAGUUUAUAAAUAUACAUUACCUUUCAAAAGUUUGGGGUGUUUCAGUUUAGUUUUUUUUUUUUAUUUAGUUUUUUUUUGUAAGAAUUCUCUUAUGCUCACAGUUGCAUUUAUUUGAUUAUAUUAAAAUACAGCAAAACAGCAAUAUUGUGAAAUCUUAUUAUUAUUUGAAAGAACUGAUUUUUAUUUAAAUGUCAUAAAAUAUAAUUUAUAAAUUAUACAUUUUAAUGAAACUAUAAAUUAUAUUUAAUGUCUUAAAAUAUAAUUUUAGGGUGUUGCUGAUUUAUUUUUAUUUUUUUUUUUCAUUUUUUUUUUAAUGCAGUCUUUACUUUGUCUUCACUGCUAUCCUUUGGAAAUAUGCUGAUUUUGUGCUCAAAAAGCAUAGGAUUCUUUGAAAAGAAAGUUAAAAAAAACAGCAUUUAUUUUAAAUAUACAUCUUUUGUAGAAUUCUACAUGUCUUUACUGUCACUUUUGAAGUUAAAAAAACAAGCAUUUAUUUUUAAAUAUACAUCUUUUGUAGAAUUCUACAUGUCUUUACUGUCACUUUUGAACAAUUUAAUGCAUCCUUGCUGAAUAAAAGUAUUAAUUUAAUUUAAAAAAUAAUAAUAAGAAAAUAUAUAUAAUAAAAGUUUUUUAACAAUAUUGUAUGUUUAGUGAAUUGUGAUUGGUCUUGUGUUCCUUGCAUAUACAGUAUGUAAUCAUUAAUGCCAGCACUUGCAAGCACUGGAAUUUCCUUCAUGAACUGUUAAUCUAGUUUUUAGUGAUGCUUUUAGGUUUUUGCACAGAGCCUUUUCACAGAGCCUUUUAUAAAUAUUAGCAGUUUAGACAUGAAGUCACAAAGUCUCUACAAGAUCAAACGACCUAACUGAGAGGCAUAGCUGAGGCCAGUGAUCGGCAACGUUCUACUGAAGUGUGAUGAAACUCACGGCUGGAAUAUCAAUAGCCGGUCCUCCCUCCAAUUCCUCCCGCUCUCUCUCUCUCUCUCUCUCUCUCUCUCUCUCUCUCUCUCACGGCUGGAAUAUCAAUAGCCGGUCCUCCCUCCAACUUCCUCCCUCCCCUCGCCUCCAUUGCGUCUUUUUUUCUAUCUCUCCAUCCCUCUGUUCUAGAACUCUCAUAGGCUGCUCCUCACAUAUGCUCUGAGUCUCUCUGGGGAAAUGUAAGAGUGACAGAUCUGAUGAAACACUGACAGGGCCCAGGUCCUCUCGCCGUUUUCCACUCACAGAAAAGAAAUCAUGCGAUUAGCCAGUCACCGCUAAUGAAUCCCAUGCUGGCCUGUCAGAGAAGAACUCAUCACCCAUCAGUGACAAGCAAGCUCAUUCACCUGUGAGAGGCAUAUACACACACUCUGCACUCGCGCUGACAUAGAGUUUGUUUAUUUGGUUGGUGAGAGAGAAUUUUGCCUGCUAGGUAGGUGUGAUGACUCACUUUUUCUCUCGCGUUGUCUUUCCUUCCUCCCUCUCGAACUCACACACGAACGCCAACUCAAACGCCUCCUAAACAAAUCUCCCAUCACUCUUUUUCCCUCAGCCCUACUUUUGCCCCAGAUUUUCUCUCGCGUGUCUUCCUUCCUCCCUCUCGAACUCACACACGAACGCCAACUCAAACGACCUCCUAAACAAAUACUCCCACUCACUCUUUUUCCCUUCCAGCCCUACCUUUUGUCCCCACGAGAGCCUCCUAGUUAUCAUUAUGAGUCACUCACUCGCUCACACAGAGGCUCUUUGCUCCUUUACAUGCCUGGAAGGCAACAUAUCCACUUGGCAUGCACCCAUAAUUCAUAAUUCUUCUGUAGCUAUCAAACUGGGGCUUUACAGGGCAGAGAUGUCUUUUUUAUUGUAAGUAGGAUAUAUAUAUAUAUGUAUAUAUAUAUAUAUAUGGCAUGACAUUUCAAAAUGUCUAUUCUAUUGUGAAUAAAAUAUAAGUCUAUGAGAUUUGUAAAUUUUAUUCCAUUCCUUUUUUACUCACAAUUUGUACAGUGUCCCAACUUUUUUGGAAUCGGGUUUGUACAUUUAAGUAAAAAAAAAAAAAUAAAUAAAUAAAAAUUUUUUAUUGAUGACCGAGGCUUUGAGGCUUAGUUUUCAAAAUGGCACACACUGUGUGAAGGUCCUAGAUCACAUGUACUUUUCAAAACUUUUUUCAAAAGAUUUUUCAUCAGCAGAACAAUAAUUUUUUGAUAAACAACAGCGCAGUCCAUUGAUUAGGCGUUUGGUGUUGCAUGGUGAUUGAAAUCGCCCAAAUGGCCUUAAAUAAACUGCGAAAAGAAACAUCAUGGACGGAAUGGUCCUGAGAGCGCUGCACGAGCUCGCGGCGCCAUCUGACAGUUAAAGCGUUCAAACGAUUCAAAGCGCCAAACGCGAGCAGAAUCUGCGCUGAUACGUGUUACUCGAUCCGGUGACUUUUUAUGAAUGGGGGUGAUCAUUUGAGAUUGGUAGUGCUGUCAUAAAAUUCACAAUGGUUGUGCUGUAAUUAUAUAAUAGGCUGUAGUGUGACGCGUUCCAUGUCUGUUGUUACAGUACUGUUUUAGUUGUGAUUCACUCACUGUUAGUGCUGCUCUUGGUUUGAGCCGCUUUAAUUUGCAUUUGGGAACGCAACAUUCGUCAUUAGAAACGUUUAUAAAUCUGUUGUUGUUUACGAAGAAGUUUCAGUGUCACAUAAUCCUUUAGAAAUCAUUAUAAUAUGCUGAUUUGCUCCUCAAGAAACAUUUCUAAAUAAAUGUCUAAUAAAUGUUAGAAACAGUUUUGCUCUUAAUAUUUUUGUGGAAACAAUGAUACCUCAAACAUUUGUAUACGAUUUAAAAAAGAGAAAAAUGAAUAAUUUUUAUUCAUCAUGCAUGAAAGAUAUUUAAAAUAAUUUCUAUUUAAUAAAUGCAUUAACAAAUUGAAUUAGUAUAUUUGAUGAAUGCAAAUAAAUGCUGUUCAUUAAACUUUAUAUUUAUCAAAAAAAUCCUGAAAAAUAAAAUGCAACAUCAUUUCCACACAAAAUAUGAAGCAGCAAAAUUGUUUUCAACAUUGAUAAUAAUCAGAAAUGUUUCUUGAGAGUAAUGAUUUCUAAAAGAUUAUGUGACACUGAAAACUGAAGUAAUGAUGAAGAAAAUUCUGCUUUGUGUCACAGGAAUAAGAUUACAUUUUAAAAUGUACUAAAAUGUAUUAAAAUGUAUUAUUAUUAUUAUUAUUAUUAUUAUUAUUUAUUAUUUUUACUUUAUUUUGAUCAAAUAAAUUCAUCCUUGAUGAGCAGAAGAUAGUUAUUUCAAAAUCCUUAAUAAUUGUAAUGUUUUCAAACUUUUGGCAGGUAUUUAAUAAUAAUAAUAAUAAUAAUAAUAAUAAUAAUAAUAAUAAUAAUAAUAAUAAUAAUAAUAAUUAUAUAUACUUACUAAUAAUAUAUAUAUUCCUUUUCCUUCUACGGGAGGGGAGGUAGCGANAAGUACAAAAAGAAAAAAAAAAAAACGGGGGAAGG